rnacentral:lncRNA from 1 species
AGCAUGAUAUGUAGGCUUUGGUUUGAUUGCGUAGGAUAAUAUUAUGUGAUGAUAUGAUUUGAUGGUUAUUGACUAAUAUGUGUGAUGAUGAUGUUUGAUUAUGGAAUGUUAUGUAUGAGAAUGUUAAGUAUAAGGAUGUAUGUAUGACGAUGUAUGUAUGACUGGGGCGAAUCGAGCUAUGGGCCGUGGUCUCUCUAGUAAUGUGGACAGUGAUGGACCGACGGGUUAACAGCUGGUCAAGAACGGCUAACAAGCCCGGAAUGCAUGGGAGUGUCUGAGCCCGAGGGCCAGCCUCCACUCAUGAGGUUCUAGUCAUCACGAGGAUGAUUGGAUUUAACGAUACGUAUAUGUGUGUUAGUAUGGAUAAGAUGAUUGUUAUGAAUAUGUUGUUAGAAGUUAAAGCAUGUUAGGUUGAUUGCUUGUAUCUAAGGUAUGUCAUGAUGAUGGUUGUAUAGCUUGA